rnacentral:rRNA from 1 species
ACAGAGUUGCAAAACUCCCAACCCUUUGUGAAUCAACUAGACAGUUGCCUCGGCGAGAAGCUCUUCAGGGGGCUUCUCGCCGGAGGACCACUAAACUCUUGUAUUUUUGGCCUCUCUGAGUAAUUCUAAAAUGAAUCAAAACUUUCAACAACGGAUCUCUUGGUUCUGGCAUCGAUGAAGAACGCAGCGAAAUGCGAUACGUAAUGUGAAUUGCAGAAUUCAGUGAAUCAUCGAAUCUUUGAACGCACAUUGCGCCCGCCAGCACUCUGGCGGGCAUGCCUGUUCGAGCGUCAUUUCAACCAUCAAGCCCUAGGCUUGUGUUGGAGCCCUGCGGCUGCCGCAGCCUCCUAAAAGCAGUGGCGGGCUCGCUAUCACACCGAGUGCAGUAGAUUUCUCUUCGCUCAGGGCGUGUGGCGGGUUCCAGCCGUGAAACCCCCUACUUUUUAAAGGUUGACCUCGGAUCAGGUAGGAAUACCCGCUGAACUUAAGCAUAUCAAUAAGCGGAGGAAAAGAAACCAACAGGGAUUGCCCUAGUAACGGCGAGUGAAGCGGCAACAGCUCAAAUUUGAAAUCUGGCUCCGGCCCGAGUUGUAAUUUGCAGAG